rnacentral:rRNA from 1 species
UACGGAAGGGGGGCUAGCGUUGUUCGGAAUUACUGGGCGUAAAGCGUGCGCAGGCGGCUUUGCAAGACAGAUGUGAAAUCCCCGGGCUCAACCUGGGAACUGCAUUUGUGACUGCAUGGCUAGAGUACGGUAGAGGGGGAUGGAAUUCCGCGUGUAGCAGUGAAAUGCGUAGAUAUGCGGAGGAACACCGAUGGCGAAGGCAAUCCCCCUGGACCUGUACUGACGCUCAUGCACGAAAGCGUGGGGAGCAAACGAGG